rnacentral:rRNA from 1 species
UGGGGAAUCUUGCGCAAUGGGCGAAAGCCUGACGCAGCAACGCCGCGUGGAGGAUGAAGGCCCUUGGGUUGUAAACUCCUGUCGGCUGGGAAGAAAUCGCGCGGUGCUCAUACCAUCGCGCGUUGGCUGUACCAGCAAAGGAAGCCCCGGCUAACCCUGUUCCAGCAGCCGCGGUAAUACAGAGGGGGCCAGCGUUAUUCGGAAUUAUUGGGCGUAAAGGGCGCGUAGGCGGCCACGCGUGUCUUUCGUGAAAUCCCUCGGCUUAACUGAGGACGUGCGGAAGAAACUGCGAGGCUCGAGUCCGGGAGAGGGGGGUGGAAUUCCCAGUGUAGCGGUGAAAUGCGUAGAUAUUGGGAGGAACACCGGUGGCGAAGGCGGCCCCCUGGACCGGUACUGACGCUGAUGCGCGAAAGCGUGGGGAGCAAAC